rnacentral:tRNA from 1 species
GCCGGGAUGGCUCAGAGGUUGAGCGCCUGCCUUCGGCUCAGGUCGUGAUCCCAGGUCCUGGGAUGGAGUCCCACUUCAGGCU